ACGGGUGAGUAACGCGUGGGAAUCUACCCAUCCCUACGGAAUAACGCAUGGAAACGUGUGCUAAUACCGUAUACGCCCUACGGGGGAAAGAUUUAUCGGGGAUGGAUGAGCCCGCGUUGGAUUAGCUAGUUGGUGGGGUAAAGGCCUACCAAGGCGACGAUCCAUAGCUGGUCUGAGAGGAUGAUCAGCCACAUUGGGACUGAGACACGGCCCAAACCCCUACGGGAGGCAGCAGUGGGGAAUAUUGGACAAUGGGCGCAAGCCUGAUCCAGCCAUGCCGCGUGAGUGAUGAAGGCCUUAGGGUUGUAAAGCUCUUUCACCGGAGAAGAUAAUGACGGUAUCCGGAGAAGAAGCCCCGGCUAACUUCGUGCCAGCAGCCGCGGUAAUACGAAGGGGGCUAGCGUUGUUCGGAAUUACUGGGCGUAAAGCGCACGUAGGCGGACUUUUAAGUCAGGGGUGAAAUCCCGGGGCUCAACCUCGGAACUGCCUUUGAUACUGGAAGUCUGGAGUAUGGAAGAGGUGAGUGGAAUUCCGAGUGUAGAGGUGAAAUUCGUAGA
rnacentral:rRNA from 1 species